UUGGUGUCACUGUGGUUGGGCCACAGAAGAAGAUCAUCAGCACCAUUAAAGCUCUAGAAACACAAUCUAAGAAUGGUCCAGUUCCAGUGUAAAGUCCUGGAGGGAUGUGAGAAACGGGAAGAUGCAGCAGCAUCCUGCAGACAGAUGGAAAUGAUAAAUAAGAUGCUGCAGAAAGCUCCAAGUCUAAUAAGACACUCAGUUAUAAGUCCAAAUGCCUUAAAAUGGAAUUGAAAAAUCUCUUUAUUUUCCCCUAUCAUUUUACAGAUGGGUGGGUGGGUGCAUUUUGCUUUGUAAUUGCUUUUUAAAUGUUAAUUGAUGGGGUUAGUUAAAAUUCUUCAGUAUGAAGUGGAAGAACUAGUGUAGAGCCAUUGAUCAUUAACUAUCAUGGAAAUAAACCAAGUAAACUAGCAAAACAGACCUGAAGGCUUUGUUGUGAAUGGCCACAGAGGAAAAGACUUGUCGUAUUUUUAUACACAGAAAAAAAUCUGUAACAGGUAUUUUGUUUCUUUUAAAAACAAGCAAAAUGGAGGCAUUUAUACCUCAAACUAUCUGGCCAUACUUACUACCUUAUCACGUUAGUAUUCUCUUUAUCUGUUUGAAGCAUAUAGAGAUAAAGUUUGUAGUUGUUUUAAAUACUAUACAUUUUUAAUUGUUACCUUCCUUAAGUAGACCAUGUAAAAACACGUCUUAAUUUGGGGGCAAGUGCGUAUUUAUUUUCUUUUGGAUUUUUAAAUUGUUUUAUAUUUAUGCCUUGAUGAUUUAAUUUGGGUUUUGUUACAGCCAAGUGCCAAAUGCUAUUGCAAAUUGUCAGCAGUAAGAAACAUGUUUAACUAUACCCAGAGAAUUAUAUGUUCUUUUCUACAACUGUUGAACAAUCCACUUACAUGUACCAACAAAAUGAAAUGCUUUCCCUGUUCCUACUGUCACCAAAUCACUCACAGUCUGAAUAUCCCAUUCAUUUUUGUCUCUUCAUUUAUCAGUAAAUGUAUGCUCCUAAUUUAGUGUAAUAUACUGGCUUGUAUGUAAUAGAUUUUUACCAAGAUGUCAUACCUUCCCUACUCUGGUGCUUAGAGGAUAUCAACUCCUUUCAUUCAUGAAAGAAGCUUGUUAGAACUCCUUAGAUUUGCAAACUGGAAAGAUCAAAAUGAGGUUAAAUGGUUACAGUAAUUGACAGCAGCAUAUAGGUAAAUGCAUGAGCC
rnacentral:lncRNA from 1 species